rnacentral:rRNA from 1 species
UAUUGGACAAUGGGCGCAAGCCUGAUCCAGCAAUACCGCGUGUGUGAAGAAGGCCUUAGGGUUGUAAAGCACUUUCAAUUGGGAGGAAAACCUGCCGGUCAAUACCCGGUAGCUUGACAUUACCUUUAGAAGAAGCACCGGCUAACUCCGUGCCAGCAGCCGCGGUAAUACGGAGGGUGCGAGCGUUAAUCCGAAUUACUGGGCGUAAAGCGUGCGUAGGCGGUUCGUUAAGUCAGAUGUGAAAGCCCUGGGCUCAACCUGGGAACUGCAUUUGAAACUGGCGGACUAGAGUUUAGUAGAGGGGAGUGGAAUUUCAGGUGUAGCGGUGAAAUGCGUAGAUAUCUGAAGGAACACCAGUGGCGAAGGCGACUCCCUGGACUAGAACUGACGCUGAGACGAAA